CUGCAGCAGCUGUAAAAAGGGACCUUUCUUUAUCUUUUCGUUCCCAUUUUCGGACUUGUUGAAGUGAUGUGUGUAACGUGAGAACAACCACUUCAAAGUGAAAAGCAUCGCCCAAGUCACCACCUUCCUCCAAGGGCUCACCGAAUUUGAGUGGAAGACAUCAAACUAGUACGGACCACCCCACCAGAGCAUAAAUACUCUUGUCUGGAUUGGAGGCCCCCAAGCAGAUGUGGAUCAGCAAGCAGAAGUACCAUGGGUUCGGCCCCUCCAUCAUCCUUCACAAAUCUUCUAAAGCUUCUAAACAAGACUGUUCCUCCUUCCCCUCCCCAACCAAAUACCCAUCAACUUCAGCUCUGUGGUAAACAACCACACCACAUUUUUCAUACAAGUUACAGUAUCAUACUGUACAAUGGAACUGCGGUUAGGGCAUCAUACUGUAAAAAACAUGUACACUUAUGGUAUUUUAAGGGGGUAGUUACAGUGACUCCGCAUAUCUACAUAACAAGUCUAACAGUGUA